GCAUGUAGCCAAAUUUGGCAGACCUCAAAAAGCUUAGCAUGUACUUGGUUAGUACUUGGAUGGGAGACCACCAGGGAAUCCUAAGUCUUCAAGCU
rnacentral:rRNA from 1 species